rnacentral:rRNA from 1 species
GGAUAUCGAGGGGGGGGUCCUUUGGGCCCACCUCCCAUCCGUGUCUAUUGUACCCUGUUGCUUCGGCGGGCCCGCCGCUUGUCGGCCGCCGGGGGGGCGCCUCUGCCCCCCGGGCCCGUGCCCGCCGGAGACCCCAACACGAACACUGUCUGAAAGCGUGCAGUCUGAGUUGAUUGAAUGCAAUCAGUUAAAACUUUCAACAAUGGAUCUCUUGGUUCCGGCAUCGAUGAAGAACGCAGCGAAAUGCGAUAACUAAUGUGAAUUGCAGAAUUCAGUGAAUCAUCGAGUCUUUGAACGCACAUUGCGCCCCCUGGUAUUCCGGGGGGCAUGCCUGUCCGAGCGUCAUUGCUGCCCUCAAGCCCGGCUUGUGUGUUGGGUCGCCGUCCCCCUCUCCGGGGGGACGGGCCCGAAAGGCAGCGGCGGCACCGCGUCCGAUCCUCGAGCGUAUGGGGCUUUGUCACAUGCUCUGUAGGAUUGGCCGGCGCCUGCCGACGUUUUCCAACCAUUCUUUCCAGGUUGACCUCGGAUCAGGUAGGGAUACCCGCUGAACUUAAGCAUAUCAAUAAGCGGAGGGA